CACACUCAGGUCUCAUUAGGCCCACACACUCUAGUUUAUCUUGGUGUACUUCUACAAGAAUCUGGGGAAAUGCACGUACCCACGACUGCCACAUGACCGACCUGACAGAAGAACCAAGAGAGAUCUGUACAAACCUACAAAAAAGAAAACGCAAUCAGUGAGAUCGUUGUAGAGAAAAGGUUUGGUGCUACAAUUCCAGCCCGGAAUCAAAGACCAGGCCUGUGGUCCUGAUUCUGCCACUAACUGGACCCAUUUCCUCUUCUGCAUUUGAACCAAAAGAAGCACAAUCUAUCCAAUGGUUGGAUCAACUACCUUAAGGAAAACGCAACGCCCCCUAAUUCUACAUAUGAAAGAAAAAUAUUUUACAUCAAAACAUGGGAUCUAAAUGUCCCUCUUAGAAAUGUGUCUUUUCGUGGCUAAGUGAGAGCUACUCUGAAUUCUGCUGAAACUCAAAAUUGGGAGACCGUCUGGAAAGUAUUCUGGGGUCAGGAAAUGGGGCAGAUAAAUGUCAAAGCAAAGACAGCCAUAUUUCUUACCGUGCUCCCUUCAUCUCCAUCCUGUGCGGGUUAGAGCCUCGAUGUUUGUAAAACAUCCCAGGCGGGGUUGGGCGGGGUGCGGUGCACAGGCAAAUGGUGCCUAAUAAACUGACUUGGGAAGCUCUGGCGUGGGAAGCUGGAACAGAGGAGACAAGAAAUAAAAGAGGGUGAAAGGAAGAUAAAAUUGAUCUGUGUUCUAAACCCUUCUGCUUACAGUAUUACUAUUUUAAGAACAAAAUUUGAGUGGCAUUUAGACACUUACUGCAAUUUGACAUAGGGAUUUCAUGUCUAUGGAUUCUACUAGUAAAUAAUUUGAGCUUGUC